rnacentral:lncRNA from 13 species
UAAAUUUUUGUAGAAAAGCAACACAAGUCUAAAAAAUUAUCCGGCAUCUCGUCAGCUAAUUUUGGGAAAACCAAGCCUGCAAUGAUGGAGCGUCAUCAAGAAUGGCACGAUGAAUGUUACCUAUCUGACAUACAAGAAUUACCUGGUUCACUGCAGUUAGAUUAAGAAAAUCAAACGAGGAAUCAUAACAACUGUUGUGGUAAAUAUAUAACUUCCUACAGAGAUACAUUAUUA